AGGGACUUCAAGCUGGACAGCGUCGAGAUGGUCGGCGUGGAGCCGAUCCCCGGCGUGACGCACUGCGACGACAAGGGGGGCAUGCUGCCGGUGCUCCCCAGCCACCACUUCGGUUUGCUGCUCACCAUCGCCCCCCAAAUCCACAAGUGAUCGAUCAGCUUAAAUCUUCACCAUGGCUGCUAAAAUUCUAGAACUGGAGAUCUUAAGAGUUGAUGUCGCUG
rnacentral:misc_RNA from 1 species